CCACUGGUACCACCGCCCCCAUCACUGGUACCACCACCACCACUGGUACCACUGCCCCCACCACUGGUACCACCACCUCUAUCACUGGUACCACCGGCCCCACCACCACCACCGCUGGAGUACAACACACAUCCAAAGCUGUGAGCUCAGGAGGCAUCGCUGCCAUCAUUUGUGUGUUUAUUGCCACAGUCCUCCUGGUUUUAGGUGGCAUAUACUACUACAAAUUCAGACGAACAUCCUACGGCCCCCUGCUGGACGCCAGCGACUACAGCGCUUUGGGAAACUUCAGCAACCCCAUGUACGACCCCUGAGUCUCAGCUUUGACCUUUGACCUCUGACGUCCUGAGGUCCUGAGGCUGCGUCGAGUGUUCGGCUCUGACUUUACUGACUGUGACAUUUGAUAUGACAGCUUCAUUGCACUGUGAAACGCAAGACAUGUGACAAACACUGGUACAGACGGACUCCUUUUAUAGUCACAUGAUAAGUGUGAAAAACAGCCUCCAGUGUCCCUGUACGCCAGCGUCUGUUCUAUGUGGAUCAGACCCAGUCCAAUGUGUGAGGUUGUCAGGUUCAGUUCUAUGUUCCAGUCCUGUGGUCUGGAUGC